rnacentral:rRNA from 1 species
GUGCCAGCCGCCGCGGUAAUACGGAGGGAGCUAGCGUUGUUCGGAAUUACUGGGCGUAAAGCGCACGUAGGCGGCUUUGUAAGUUAGAGGUGAAAGCCCGGAGCUCAACUCCAGAAUUGCCUUUAAGACUGCAUCGCUUGAAUCCAGGAGAGGUGAGUGGAAUUCCGAGUGUAGAGGUGAAAUUCGUAGAUAUUCGGAAGAACACCAGUGGCGAAGGCGGCUCACUGGACUGGUAUUGACGCUGAGGUGCGAAAGCGUGGGGA